rnacentral:lncRNA from 1 species
UUCUUUCUAAAGGUAUGGAUGCAAGACGUUAAAGCCAAAGCAGCAGAAAGUGAGGAAUUAAUCUUAUCUAAGUACAUUGCAGAAGGAGCCCUUCCUCAAGAACUGAGAGAAUCCUUUUAUGAAUUUCAGAAGCAUGUGGAAGAGUAUGUUUCUUCUGAAACUGUGGCUGCUCUCUCACUUUUGCCAAAUUCAUGUUCUUCUGCCAAAUCUAUCACCAUUACCGAAAUUGUUGCUCCUGUCAAUGCGAUAAAAAAGUGUAUGCUUCGGUAUGGAUUGAUUACAUCUGAAGGAUACCCCCGUGCAAAUUCUCUGCUCAUCUUACAAAACAACGGCCAAAUCAUUGACUGGUUUUCAGGAGUAGUUCACCGUUGGCUUACAUGGUAUAGAGAGUGUGACAACUUCAGUGAGAUAAAGCUUUUAAUUUCUAAUGAAGUUAGGAAAUCGUGUAUCCGUACUCUAGCUGCAAAGUAUCGAAUUCAUGAAAGUGAAAUAGGAAAGCAUUUUGAUUCAGAACUGAGCAGAAUUCCCUCUACACGGGAGAUAGAGCAUGAAAUGGCUUGUGCUUAUUGUCACUAGCAAGAAUGGUAAGCCAGUCCCGGCCUUGCAAUUGCUUUGUUUUUGGGUGCUCAGAAGCAGCACUCAGUGUUUAUUCUCUUCAUGUUAUGGAAAGGCAGAAAUUUCCAGGUUGGAAGACGGGGUUCUCAAGUUGCAUUCAUCCCAGCCUGAAUAAAAGGCGAAUUGGAUUGUGUAUGCGGCACCUAAAGGAUUUGUAUCUUGGCCAUAUAUCACUUAGUCAGUUGAUUUUAGUGCAUGGAAAUGAGGGGUUCCUGUCAGUUUGGAAUAUCACUCUAUUAUGUAGAAACCAUGGAACCUGCCAUCAAAGCUUUAAGUCGUCAAAAUACUUUGUAAAUAUGCACAAGGGAACAUAUGAUAUGAUAUUUUGCACUCUAGUUGCAUUUUUCUUGUAGAAUACAUGAAAAGCUUUUUGAGAAACUUUCUUUUCUGGUUCGUAUUCUUAUGGUUGUUAUAGGCAUUAAAAUGGUAUAUUUCUGAUCAAACGUCUUGACAAUUAAUUGUUGGUAGCAAAAAUAUUAGAGAUUAAAGAUAUUUGCACAUUUUGAAAUUCCAAAAAUAGUUUAAAUAGUGGGUACUCAAUUUGUAGCGAACAACGUUGGGGAUGUUUUCAGUAGUGUAAAAUGUUGAUAUUUACUCGAACUGCAUUGUUCAGCACACCUCCUAAAACGGUUCCAAAAGAGGACCAGUGGUUCAAAUGUUCAAUACCCAUAACAUCUAUGGGAGUUGCUAUGGAGUCGAAUGUGGUUGAUUGCAUUCAACGAGCUUUAGAAAAUAUCCGCAAUAGGAAUCAGAACAGAUUUAAGUUCAUGCUUCUAUCCCAUUGGUAAUUCCGCGAAAGGAUUCAUGGCCUGUAAUGCAGUCUAAUUAUGUUGCUUUCUAUCUAAUUUCUCUAUUCCAUGAGCUUAGAAGGUUUAGUUUGAAACUUGAAAAGUAAUCUGAAGCUGCAUGGCCUUGACAGUGAACAGCUAUUCUGCUUCUCCCUUGUUCUGAUUGGGUACUAAUUGAUUUAUCAGUUGAAGUUAAUGGUUUCUCUGUUUGAUUUUUCUACUUUUAUCUCCUAAUAUUCUCUAGGAUAACCUAAUCCAGAUAUGAGUGUUCAAAUGUCUCCCUGUGGUUUCACAAGCAUGUUCAUAUGAUAUUUGCUAUGAUUUUCUGAUUAAGGAGUCGAUUGAGUACUGUUUUAGUUAAUUACUUCACUUUUCCUUAAGAAGUUGAACUUACAGUUAAUGCCUCGGCAAGGGCAAAAGAUGUCAGCAAUUAAGAGUGAAAAUGUUUACUCUUACAUUGAUUUCCCUGUACAUCAUUAUUUUCCAAAGAAGAUCUGAAAAAUACGAGAAAUACAAGGAUUAGACGAUUUAUGUGUUACCGAUAAGAAAAUCAAAUUCAAAUCCAUCAAUAGCUCGUCGGAGAUCGGGCGUAGCCAAAGUAAAGACCAAAAAUAGAAACCAAAAAGUAUGGGCGGGAGGCAUAACUAGAACCACUCUAAAGGAUAAAAUUGUAAUAUGAGAAGUUUUAAAAAAAAAAUAAAUUGGCGUGUUUUUACACAAAAUUAACGGUGAAAAUACAGCCACUCAUAUUUAUUUAUAAUAUAGAAGAAUUUCAAAUUAUUGAAUAAAAAUUGCGGGCUCGCUGUACUUGAGAGCUCAUGUAAUAUAGUACCAAUGUUUCAUCAUGAGCUCGUAAUAUAGAGCUACGAGGGACCACUGUCCAUAUAUUACUCAAAAAUAACACCAGAACCCAUUUGUCUGCCCUCAGUUUUUUCCAUGCACCAAAAACUAAGAGCUCCCCGCGAGCUUGCAGUUUCAGGCAAAUAGAUGGAAGAGACAAUAGAUCAUCACUAAUGAUCACCAGCAUCAAAAGAAAUUUUGACCAUACUGACGAAUUAUGUACAUGGUGUUGAUUGUUUAAGAGGGCCACAGGGAAGAAGAAAGAGAGGAAUUUUCCCUGCAAAAUUUAACCCCAUGUCAAUAAUAUUGGGCAUUAACUUGAGAGGCAAUCUUGCAUAAUACCGUAUAAUACUAUAAUUCUUGUGGAGAAUGAUUACAUGACUGAAUUUCUCUUUCGAAUAAAUUCUAAAAUACAUCUGAUGUAUUACAACCAAUUGAUGUAUGUAUGACAUGUGUAAUUAAAUUUAAGAAAAUUAUCAGCCAUAUACUCUUAAAUGACACAAGUAUCAAAUGUGCUACAACACUUUUCAAGUAUAUCACUCGUAUAUCCUAAGUUGACAAAACACUUCUGCCAAUCCACUAAUCGACAUUGACAGCCUGUCCGUCUAAUUUGUGACUGUAUAUAUUUCAUCUCAUUAUUCAGAUCUAUCGUCUGGGUCCCAAUACUUCCACUUUUCUCAACUAAUUACAUAAUUUGUUCACUUCUAAUGCAUAGAUCCGUGACUCUAUUGGGCUUACAUCAAAUAGACAAAUGUAAAUUUCAAGUUGGGGUUAAAGAAUUUUGAACGUAACUAAUUGAAUUGGUCCGACUUCAGAAAAAUGCCCACUCCCUUGGAGUUGGGAAUAUAUUUUUAAUUAUAUUGAUUAAAAAUUAAAAAUUGAUGUCAUAGUAACAUAAUUUGUUGUUUUUCAAUAAGAUAUUAUCAAAGGUAUUAAUUUUUUAACGUCAAUUAAAUAAAACUGUUUAAAAAUCAUUCGACUGAACUUCAGAGAGAAACAAAAGUAUUUUUUUUUUCUUCAAAUAAAUAAAGAAUAGAAAAACAAAAACAUGGUGAGCCAAAAUAACAAAAGGUAUAGAAGCAACAAAAAUCAAAUCAAUUUCUUAACUCUACCUCUUAAAGAUUACUUGGCUAAGCUAUGGGACAAGAUAGGGCCUAUCUAAUAAAGAUUGAGUAUUUUUUGCUUUAUUUGAGAAAAUGUAAAAAUUCAGGGCCCACCUCUUAAAACACACUGUGAAGAAGAUAAAAACAGAACCUAAGAGAACUAUAGCAAACAGAAGAUCUGUCAUUCAAAAGAACAUACUUCUUUUAAAAAGAAAGAAAUAAGCCAGAAGACAAUGAAGGAGUUUAUUCUUUGCUUCAUGAUAUCAAAGGUUUACAUGACCCUUGUAAUAUAUACAGAGUAAACAUAUGUUCUGGAAUCGCCUAUAGGAGUGACCUUUGGCUGUAGAUACAAUAUUUGCUUGGCUGGACUGAUUCGAAGUUCCUGGAAGUAAUUCAGAAUUUGCUGUAUUAAGGUUGACUGAAGAUAUGGCACGUUUCUGUAUUGUAUGGACUUGGUAGUUAGAUGGAGAAUCUGCUGAGAGGGAUCCUUUUGGCAAAAGCCGCACAAUUUGCCACGUUUGAUUCUGAUGGCCGUGUGCUUGCUUGCUUUCUGUCGUGUAGACAUACGUAUCAGUUCCUGCACUACUUUUCACCUUAACAAGUUCUUCACUUGUCAUUCUCAGGGGCCAAUCCCUCAGAAUUUUCUCAAGCUUCGACAGUGGAAUUACAACGCUUCUGAAGGAAGAAGCCCAGAAAAAGUCUCCACGUUAACCAUAUCCAUUAAGCAAUCAUACAAACAAAUCCGGAAUUACACAACGAAUUAACAAUCCUCUCUCCUCCAGCAAGAAGAACAAAUUCUAAGAUGAUGGGAGCAGCCAAAAAAGUGUGUUAUGCAAGACAACGGUGCUACUGCAUCCAAUGAAAAUUGCUGAAUCGUACAAACACAAAUACCCAUCACAACAAGAGUGGGACUGUCAAAGCUUGAGAACAUUCCGAGGUAUACGAUUGCUGGAGACCGCGUCACCAAUGACAUUGACUUUAUAGAUCUCCUUGGAGCUGAAAGUUUUAAGGGCUGUGAGAAUCUCGCCAGCAUUUUUUCCCGGGUAAACAUAGCUCACAAUUGAUGUUGGCUGUGCAUCACGCAAAUCAUCAUAGUCACCCAAUACAACCAGUCACUUCCAGCCCCCAAGGUGGUCGGGGGGCACACAGUAGUGUAAGCUUGUGCAGAAGAGACAGCUCCAUUUGCCACGACUGCAAACACCAGCGUCAUUAAUGCAAUAUCAGAUUUCAUACUUACAAAGUUGUGCUUGAUUGAAAUCAAAUAUUAAUAUGAGUAUUGCAAUAUUUUCUCUGUAUUGAACUUUACUGAAACCAAAUAAUCAGUAAAUUUGAAAUGCCUCUGUUGCAAAAUUGAUAUUUCUAAAAAAUCUUUCCUUGAUCUAAUCCAUGAUUAAAAACAGCAGCCGCUUCCAAAUGAUGUCAUGCCAUAGAAUUUUUUGUUAUUUAAACUUCGAAGAUUACAAAUAACAAAUAACAAAUAACAAAUAAAUUAAAGAAGGGAAGAGAAAAAAAAUUACCUGUGAAUCACUGGUCAUGGCUGAUGUAAUAACAUAUUCACCAUUAAUUUUGAUGCUACGAAUUUGACAGAUUGUUGAGUCCUCUCAUAGUCUUCUCUGUCUUUUUCGAAAUGUUCUUCUAAAACAAGACAGAAGUCAAUAGCCAGAUCCUCCGAUGUGCUACAAAGAAGUUGUUCUGGCAGCAUCUGUUGAUGCUGAAAUCUGGUCUCCCUUUGCCCGACCAAAUUGGCUCACCAACGGUUGUACUGACAACGACGGGAAUACUGCACUCCACAAGCUUUCGCAAUUGCACAAACCUCAGAAACUCUAAUCAACUUUCCUCCUCCUUCGUGACCCUGUGCUCACAGAAACAAAUCAACAGCAUCAUCAAUUUGCUAAACUGUAUAUUUUCGAGGAACUGAGAUGAGGCAUGAUUGUAAUGUAGAAAUAUGAAGCCCAAAAGAGUUCACAAUAAGUUUAACUGACUACAUUCUGUACCAAUGGGAAAUCAUAUACUUCCGAAAAAACAGAUUGCCUCUCUCCUUUGGCACUCUGCCACUUAUAUUGUGCUACAUAAAAUCCCUGGCAACAAAACACAUAUCGAGGAAGAACAAUAAAUGAUAGCUCAGUGAUUGAAAUGGUUGAACGUUGAAGAUUUUCAAAUGCACAUCAAUUGUAUUUCUAGAUGACUUACUGAAAAUAUUGUCACACUGGAGAGCUGCCCAAGUUCCUCCUUAUAGCCAAAUCAAUCAGCCUUGCAACACAAAAGCCUAAGUUAACAAGACUGAAGCACAAUCUCAUGCCACUCUACAAAUCUUCAACUGAACCUACGAAGGUAAUUAAGAGAAAGAUCAAUAAAUUUAAGAACCUGGAAACCCAGUCAUGCUUAUUGUGAUACUGAAUUCAGAAAAUUGGGCAUGUAUCACGAUGAAAUUUCCUAGACAAGUUACAGCGACCAAAAAUGGUAUCCGAACUUGUUAGUCUUUUAUACACCUUCUGAAUUAUGUGACCACAUCAUAUCUGCCAAUAUUGUCUUGCAUCAGUGCUAAUGAAUACACUGCGGCAAGGACUAGUUCUCAUAACCAUGCUUCAGGAAAAACAAAGGACAGAAUAGUAGUUGUUACAUAAGAUGCUUUUAAGGAAUGGCGACGUACAGAAUCUUCAGCGUUGACAUCUUAGGAAACUCUGGUGCAAGAUAUCCUGAUAAGUUGCGAUCGUCCAGCACUUUGCAAAUUUUGAGAAUUAUAUGAUCAGUACAGCUGUUAGAUGCAUGUGAAAAAACAGAGGAUUCUCCAGUUCAACUUUAUUAAAGAGAACAACAGCAAUAAAUUUCUGUUCAACUCACAAGUGUUGAAGCUUAGGUAAUGCUGAAAUCUGUAUUUGAAUUUGACAAAUGAUCGAAUUGUUGUUCAUGUGACUGCAGUUAAAAGAAAACAUCUGCAAAUGCAUCAAAAAUAGUAUAAAAAUAGUUUCUUUCCAACAAAGAAAGAACAUUUGACUAACUCAGAAGUGCUUGGAGUGGAUCAAUUUGCAAAUGUUUUAGGCAGUGAUAGUUGGUUUCCACUCAAUAACUAGUAAAAGAAGAAUAGUAUUUCAAAUGUUAGUUUUCAUACUGGCUUCACCAGCCAAAAUUAACGCAACCAACCACUGGCCUAAAGUAGAAACAAUACUCAAUAUUGUAUUAAGCAACACUUAAAAGAAUAUUAAUUGAAUGAGCUUCAAUUGACAAAUGAAUAUUUGACAUCAACUCUAAACUAUGAAAUUUUAACUUACAGGAGCUUCAGAUAUAGCAUUGUAAGCUUGUUCAGAGCAGGAGACAGCUCCAUUUGUCACGACUGCAAACACCAACAAUAUUAAUGCAAUGUCAGAUUUGAUAUUUAUAGUUCUUGAAGGUCAUGACAGCUCAGACUUAACAAGAAAACAGAACUGUAUUGAAAUCAAAUAAUCCAUAGCACUGGAAGGUCUCUGUUUCCAAAUCAAUAUUUCUGAAGAUCUUUCCUUAAUCUAAACCAUGAUUAAAAACAGCAGCGGCUUCCGAGCUAUAUCAUGCCAUUGAAUUUAUUGUUAUAUAUACAUGUGUCAAGAAUGUUUGUGUUAGAGAUUAUUUCAAAUCAUCUGAAAAUAUCAUGUCUUAAAAACAAAAAGAAAAAUCUCAAUCAUCGUAAGACAGAGCAGAGAGCUGAGGAUAAAAGCCGUACCGUAACUCAAAAAGUAACAAAUCAGAAACUUCUUCUCCUCGCAAGCCGGCCACAAAGCACAAUCAUGUGUGGCGCAAACCACUACAGCUGCCGUGACAAGAUGUUGGUCGUUUUUAAGAUCAUUUCUCUCUUGAAAAUUUGCUAGCAAACCUGAAAUGAUACAAAACUAAGCAUCAUAAUAAAAAUAAGUAUCAAUAAAAUUUUCCCACAACACAUAACUUGUCCAUAUUUCACAUGUAAACAUCAUACAUGCAUGAAUCAGUCAAGAAAAGCAAGUCUUGCUUGGUGUGAUCCCAGAUUUGGACAAAAUUGGGCAUCCUUGAGAACAUUUCUGCUUAAAGCGGAAAAAACCUGUAGAAUGAUUAACCAAGCAAUAUAGAAAUAUUGGGCCCAAAAGAUUUCGGCAAUAAUUUUAGUUAAUUACAUUCUGUACCAAUGGGAAAGCUAUAUACUUCCCAGAAGGCAGAUUGCCAACUGCUUAUCAUGGGUCAAGUUUGCAAAUGUUUGAGGUAGCACCAGUUGGUUUCCACUCGACAGCCUACAAAAGAAGAACAGUACAACCUGUUAAAUGUUUCUUACUGGCUUCACCAUCCAAAUUAAACACAACCUGCCAAGCACCACCCUAAAUUACAAAUUAACAAAAUGCAUUGUGUAUUAAGCAUUCCAUAAGAGAUAAUUAAUUACACCUUAAGCAUUCCAUGAAUCCUAACUGAGGGAGCUCCAAACAGAGCAGAUUGCGCAUCUCUUUUAGUAUUCUGCCGCUUAUAUUGUUCCACAUAAAGUACCUGCAGACAAAAUACAUAUCAAGGAAAAACAAUAAAUGGUCGAAUUUUUUCAAUGCAGAACAAUUGUGUUUCUAUAUGACUUACUCAAACCAUAGACCUGCCCAAGUUCAGGAAUCAGGAGCCAGCUUUCCAAAAAUUAGCAACCAAAAAUAUAUUAGUCCAUGAGAAUCCAUGAUCUAUUUGAUCAGUGCAAAGUUAAGAGAACCGCUGACAAUUCAAAACAUGAAUUAUACAAAAAAAAAAAAAACAAUUGCUAGCUUAUUAACAAAAAAUAUUAAUUAAAGAAGCAAGAGAAGAAAAUACCGGUGGGCUAGGUAAAUGGUAGCUCAUUGCUGCUGUCAUCGAGAUCAACGAGAAGGGCCUCCUUGUUCAUAUCUACGAGAAAUUAGGAUGUUUGGAAUGUGGGAGAUCUUUGACCAGUCCUUUCCUGUGUCUUUUUUGAAAUUUUCUUCGACAAUAGGCACCGCAUCAAUCUCUAGUGACUCCAGUGUCGUGCUCCGAAGAAGUUGGUCCGGCAGCGAUUUCAAUUUCAUACAAUAGCGAAGGGUAAAGGACUUUAUUUUUGGCAUGAUUGUAAUAUCUUCUUUUACAAAAUCCCACUCUUCCAGUUCAUCCAUACUCCUUAACGUGAGUUGUUCUAGUUUAGGGAAGGCAACAAUUGAUGAAGAUAAAGAUGAUGAAAAGGUGCCAUGAAUAUGAUUAUGAUCGCGAAUCUCUAUUCCUAAAAAUUCAUCACCCACUUUUUUCACACUAUUCACUGACCUUACCGUGAGUAUUUCAAGGGACGGCAAUUUUCCUAAAGGAGGCAUAAUCUCACAUCUAGGGAAGAAUUUGAGAUUUAACCUCUUCAGCUUGUCUAAUGACACUGUCCAAUUACAGGAAAAUAUCAGCCUCCUGCCUUCGAAGCCCGUUAUUUUUAACGACUCUAUAUUUGGAGGUGCCCGUAAGGCUUCACAAAUUGCUUCUUGCUUUGCUUCAUUUUCCUCAUUCAUCCACAUUGGCGCUUCUUCAUAAUCUUCAUCUUCUCUUUUAGUAAAAUCCAAAAUCAAACAAACGAGAUUCUUCUUUUUCUCAAGAUGUGCAUUUUUAGCCUCAUCAGCAUCUGUCACAUUCCCUAGCCCACAAAUUCGAAGAAACCCUCUAAGGUGAUUCAAGUUUCCCAGACCUUCGAGAUUACAAGCUUUACUACUAUAUUCGCCAUCAACCCUUGCAACAGUAAACCCACUCAAUGUCCUAAGACCUGUUAAUCUCUCAAAUCCAUUUGGCACGUAAUCUACCCCGAACUCAUCAAAAAUUAAAUGCCUCAGAUUGAUUAAUUUUCCUAUUCCUUGAGGUAAUCUUAUCAAACUGAGACAAUCUAAGGUUUGCAGAUUUAAUAGCUCACAACAUGUCUCAGGUAAUUCUUCUACGCUAGACAACUGAAGAUAUCUUAAAUGUAUCAAAUUUUCUAGCCCUCUAGGAAUUUCAAUUGUUUUAUCUCCCAACGUCAAAUCCUCUAUUUUCAAUGCCCUCAAACAUGUCAGUUGAUCAAAUAACCCUUGUAGGCCUCGUGACGCGGCCAAUUCACCUUGGCAAUCAUAAAAUAAAAUUAGGCCCCGUAACUUUUUGGCAUCCAAUAUGGAAACGGGAAACUUAGCCCGGAGGCCAAGCGUCAGCGUCAAAUGACGAAGUUUCUCCUGACAAGUACUUGUUAACGACAAGGGGUUUUCAUCACCAUCAACUUCUAUUGCAGCAAAUUCCUUUCUAGUGAGAUAUUGUGCAAAAUCAUGCACUAUAUCAUGCAUUUUACAUGUUACAAUACCCUCUUCGUCUUCAUCAAAGUCCUGGAAGAAAGACCGCGAGGCUAAGAAAUCAAAAUACCACCCACCAGUCAUCUCCAUUUCUAUAUUUCCCUUUUUCUCAAUAUAACCUUGAGCCAUCCAUAAUCUAACCAAUUCAUCUUUAUCUAGAUCGUAGUCUUUUGGAAAGACCACACAAUACAAGAAACAUAGUUUUAUUUCAGGUGGCAAAUCGUUAUAACUUAGUUGCAGAGGGGCUAAAAGGUUUUUUUCAAAAUCUUCUAGCUGCCACAUCUCACUAUUUAAUAUUAGUUGCCACUCUUCUCUGGUUUUUUUGAACCGCAAUAGACUCCCUAUUGUUUUGGCUGCAAGUGGCAAGCCUUUACACUUGCCAACAAUUUUCCUACCAAUUUCUUCUAAUUGUUCACAAUCAGUAGGAGAUCUACCGGAAAAAGCAAAUCUUUUGAACAAUGACCAACAUUCGUGUUCAGACAGUUCUUUGAUAGAGAUAACAUCAGUCGACUCCAUCAUUCGAGCAACUGUCUCCUUACGGGUGGUAACCAAAAUCCUACUUCCACAAAGUCCAUUCAUUAGACAAUUAUGGAAUGGUUCCCAUUUACUGUAAUCAUCUGUCCAUACAUCAUCUAAGAUGAGAAAAAACUUUUUUCCCUUAAUAGAUGUAUGUAUGUACUCCAAAAGUGAAUUCAAUUCACCUAAAUUUGGGAGAGAACCUUCUAAACCCUCAAUGAUUGCUUUCGCAAUCCUAAACUCAUCAAAUGGGUCUGAAACACAUACCCAUAUUCUUUUGUCAAAGUUUUCUAUCACAUCUUUGUCAUUGUAUGCAAAUUGAGCAAGAGUGGUCUUGCCAAUCCCACCCAUCCCUACCAGAGAGAUGAUUUGGACGGCAUUUUGCUGCUCAUUGCUCUCGCAUAACAACUUGCUCUUUAAAGUAUUCUUCUCCUCAUCUCGACCACGUACAUCAGAAACAUUAAUUAUGGCAGUACUAUGUAUCCGCUCAGAUUUCUCAGUACUACCUCUAAUGACAUUAAAGUUAAACACAUCUUUUUGUUUUGCAAUAUCAUCCAAAUUUUCAUUUAUCUCAAUUAUCUUCUGAGCAAUAUCCCGACGCAAAACAACUUUUUUGAAACCAAUGCAGCAGGAGAGAAAGAAGGAACAUACCGGCUUCUUACGAACAAGAGCAUUCUCAUCAACACCUUCGAUUUGCAAUUUGAGCCUGGCAGUGAUCCACUCAUCCAGCACAUCUUCCAUGUCGUAGGAUGCCUCUUUGAGCUGAUCCAGCCAGAGUCUGACACUUUCUUCCUUCACUUGCCUUUGCUCUGCAUCAUUCAGCACAGCUUGAAUAGCUCGAAGAUUGCUGGUGAGCUUUUUGACUUGUUUCCCAACACCGGCAACAAGCCUGACCUGUUGUUUUGCCUCUUCAUAAGAGAUUGAAAUCAGCUGCUCCAAGAGAGGGGACACAAUUGCAUCAACCAUUGUGAAGCCUGAGUUUAAUUAGACGGAAACUGUAGGAUGCCUCUUUUGUUUGUGUUUAUGUUGUGAAAUGAAAUGCUACCAAGACCAUUGUUCUAGUUCUUAAUAUACUAGUAAAUUAACGAAUAUUUCACGUAAUACGCAAAGUGAAAAUUUAGAAAAGAAAGAAAAGUCUGUAAAGUAAUUGAUAUAACUAGAAUUGGUAUAUAUGCCCUGCCGCAGGCUUUAAAACAAAGCUAAGAAUUUUAAUUCGCAUAGCGCUUGCAUCAACCAUCGUGAAUUGCGAGUUUAAAGAUUGACAAAGUGGAAUUACGUGUUUGUGUUGUGAAAAUGCUGCCAAAGACCAUCCUUCCUGUUCUUAUUGUACAAGCUAAUUAACGAACAUUUCGCGUCACACGCAAAGUGAAAAUGAAAAUAAAUUGAUUUAUUUUAUUAGAAUUGGUGGCACAGGCUUAGAAGCAAAGUUAAGAAUUUUAAUUCAGUAGAUACCAAACGUCGUAAUAAAUAAUUCGCUUGUGCUUAGCUUGCUUUAUUAAAUUUCUUUUGGAUUCGCUUUUACGAUCUAUUUGUUUACAAUUUCUUGGAUUAGAAGCAUACAAAAUCUAUUAAUUAAAGCAUCAAAGAGGCUUUAAUUAAUUGAGAAAUCAUUAAUUUAUUAAUGACAGAGUCUCUUUAGUGAAGUCAAUAUAUAUUACUUGCUCCCUAUUAUUUUCACAAUAUCUAAAACCGUCCUUGGCAUAAAAAAUUUAAGGGAAAAAGUCGGUAAAUGAGUCAUUUGUUUGAUAUUUAUGUUGGUAAUAUAAAAAAAAGUACAAGAAAAUAUCUUAUGGUUAAUUUUUUAUUCACAAUAAAACUUAUGUUUCUUAUUUUUAGUAUUUAAAUAUUUUAUUUUUAUUUUUAUUCAUAAUCAAUAUGAAUAAUAAAAGUGUAUUUGAAUAAUAUAAAGGGAUGAUAUUUCUUCCCCACAUAAACCAACACAAACCACGUGUAAAUAAAUCCCACUGAAAUAUUUAAAUUAAAGUUAUUUUGUUAAAUAACACAGCUAAAUUCCAAAACUACCCUAUACCUUUGUUUCUGCAUAAAAUUCUUUUCUAAUUAAUUAGAAGAGAAAGAAAAACUAUGUACUAUUAAAAAAACUUUUAAAAUCAUAUUUAUGAAACUUAAUUUCAUUUCCAUUAUUUGUCUUUAUUCGAAAAAGUUGAUUUACCGAAUUGUGCCGAAACGGUUCGCCCGUGUUUGACUUCCAGCAAUGGAAUGCUCAUUUUAUCAUCAUUCAUUCCUAACUUUCAUCGUAACCGCUAGAUUUUGUUAUGAGAAUUUCAAUUUUCAAUGUGAAGUCGUACUAAAUUUUCAAUCUAUGCAUGUUGGUUUUUCAAGGGAAAAAUGAAUAAGAAACUCUUUGACCGUUGCCUUGUUGGUCGUUUUUCCACAAAUAUACCUCCUAUUUUAUCAACAUCAUUAUUUUCCAAACUAGAUCUGAAAAAUACGAGAAAUACGAGGAUAUUAGACGAUUUAUGCGUUACUGAUAAGGAAAUUAAAUUCAUCCCCUACCUUUACACCUUUUAAUUAGACUCCUAGUAAAUUGAAUAUAUAUGUCAUGUGUCCGUGUGUAAAAAUACAAAUAUUGCAACUUUUUGUCAUAAUUAGACCCUUAAUUAAAGUGAAUAUAUAUGUGUGCGCACUAAAAAUACAGAUGUAACUUUGAGCACAGUAAUUAUGUUCUCACUUUACAAAAUACAAACUAGGGCAAUAUAGCAUUCUUGUGCACGAACUUCGGAGAAAAUUUAUAGAUAUAUAGUUGAAUUUCAAAUUAUCGAAUAAUAAUACUUCAAUAAUUGCGGGUCUGCUGUACUUGAGAGCUCAUGUAGUAUGAAUCCGAAUCUAACAACUUAACAAGGCUUCAAAAUGGUACCAAUGUUUCAUUAUGAGCUAGUAACAAGGGACCACUGUCCAUAUAUUACUCAAAAAUAGUUUUUGUACCAAAAACUAUGAGCUCCCCGCAAGCUUGCUGUUUCAGGCAAUAGAUGGAAGACACUACAUCGUCACUAAUGAUCAGCAAUCUAACUCUCAAUAUGCAUGUGCAGAGCCUAUUUGGAAGGAUAUAUAUAUGGUGACUGGUAAUCACAUCUCACGACUCAAUUAAUUAUAUAAUAUGCAUACAUAUAAUCGCAACAUGAUAUUAAAUUAUACUAUUAAACAUAAAUGAUUUAUGGAAUAUAUAAUAGUAAUAAUAGCAAUCUAUCCACAGAUCAUGUUUCACUUUGAGAUUCAUUAGGACUCAUAUGAGUUCAUAUAUACUUGGAUUUCUCCUAAAAUAAAUGGUUCGAAAAUUAACUAUUAAAAUUGAUAUAAAAAUUAGUACGCAUAAUGCAAACUAAAUCAUAAUUACUUAAAUUUCAUAAAUAUAUUGCCCACUAAUUCACUAGAUAUUAAUCUAUCUGCCCAAAUCCAUUUCUUGUAAUGUUUCCUCGCAAUUCCUCUCUUCAACGUCUUCUUCAUUCUCGGCUUCUUGAUUUCUCUACUCUUUUUCUUCAUUUUUUUUUUCUCUUUUCCCACACUCGCCUUCUAUCUUCUCUUUUAUUUCUUUUCUGCUUUCUUUUUUUUCCUUCCUCUUUUCUCUUCUUUCUCCCAAUUUCUUUCUUUUCUUUUGACUGUUUUGCCCUCGAUUUCAAAUUGACAAAUAAAGUAGCUAUUGAUAUUUUUCACUUUAUGUAGCCAUUGAAUCCAAGCAAUCAUGUGAGCAAAUUAGUAGGGCUAGCAGGUGCAAUCAAAUGAAGCAGGCAGCUAGGUGCUUGUAAAGCAAUAAGCCAUGUUUUUCCUUAUAUCAAAACCACGCGUGUUACAUUUGAGCCGAUUCCUGGUGCUGAGUUUGGCAAGAAGAACCAAAUCUAAUGCGAUUUGGUUCACUAAAUUUCCAUAUGAACAAAGUUCACUAACUAAUUGUUAAUCAUCAUGUGAUUUCGACAAUAAUCUUGUGAGCAAAGGCAUGUAAACUUUAAUUUGACUCCAUCUCCAUUUCCAUUCUAUUGUGAAUUAGGGGUGGCAAUAAAACCCGCCUAGCCCGCAUCGGAACCGGACCCAGUCUAGGCGGUCAAUAAGACCUAGCCCGUAUUAAGAAAUAAACCAGUUUCGGGUAUUGAUUUUUAAUACCCAGCGCUUUCCGAGCAUGGGUCCCGGCAUUAGCCAAAUAAUCCACAACCCAGAUCUGUGCCUGAUUUUAUUAUUUUAAAUUUAAUAGAUAAGUUUAAAAAAUAAAAUAAAAAGAAAACAUAAAUACUACACUGUAUUUAUAAACUCUAAACUCUCAUAACUUACUCACAAGUCGCCACCCAUCUCCAACUCUCCAAGCCAACAUGCCCAGCAGCCACAACCAAUCGUUGCACUUUACCUCCAACAACCAAUCGCUACACUUUUAAAGUUAAAGUUAGAAGAUUUAGUUUUGGAAAUAGAGUACAGAGCAGUAGAUACGAAGAUGAAGUCUUUUAUAAAAAAAUAAAAAUGUUAAAAAUUAGGUCAACCGUUUAGGUCUUUAGGGUAUUACAAUUGAGGAUUAACAUAUUAUCAUCAUCAUCACCAUUAUUAUUAUUAUUAUUAUUAUUAUUAUUUACAUGGGUUGGAUUGAAUUAGAUGAGUUCAUUGUAAUUCACCCAAUAAAAUCUAAUUAUUAAUUGGGUUUUAAAAAAUUUGACCAAUUAACACAUAAUAAUUCACUAAUUAAACUCGUCAAAAUUAGAUUGGGUUGGACCGGAUCCAUUGGGUUGGAUUGGGUUUACCCACCCUAGUUGGCAUAACAUAUAUAUGCUUAUAAUAUUAGACAUUUAGCUAGGACAGGUUCUCAUUGUAUUGAAGACAACAACAAGAGAAAGGCAAUUUCAAUGAAAAAUCAAACAUCUAUCCAUUUGAAAUUUUUUACUUUUUUUAAUUAUGAUUGAUAAUUAUUCUUGUAUAAAAGCAUUAUUGGCCAUUAUAUUUAUAGGUUUAGCCUGAAAGAAAGAUUUUAAGUAAUGUCAUUGAAGAUUUCGUUGAGUCCAAUGACAUGAUCACACUUCUUAAUUAAGAAUAUAGAAGUAUCAAAAUCUCACAUGGCUUAGACAAGAGAGCACAAGUUGGCUUAUAUAUAAAAAUCAAAUAUAGUGUGGUAACAAGUCUGCCCCAUAGGGAUGACGUGUAUGUGCACAGGCUUGGCCGUGUUUUACAUUUUAGUGCUUUAUUUUAAUUUUUAUGAUUUAUUUUAAUUUUUUAUUUAUUUAUCUAUUUCAAAAGUCAGUUAUAUCACACAAUAGGCAUCCAAAAUUGCUCCCUGUUUCUCUUUAUUUUCUUUGUUUCUUUUCUUCAUCAUUGUACGCUCUGGUGUUCUAAACUAUCAUGUUGAAGUGCAACAUCAUGAUAAUAGUCACUAUACCCUAAAGAUCAAACUACCUUUAUUAGUCUUUCUUCCAACGAGAUGUUGUAUCUUGAAGCAAGAAAUUCGUGCACCGAAAUUUUUGCAUGGUUCACCAAUCAGCCAAUAUACCUCCAUAGCUCCAAGCAAACUGAUCUUGAAUACAUUCCUCUAAAAUAAACUAGUGCUAUAUCUCGAGACUUCAAAAGUUACAAUUGACUUCAAGGUGUCGAGAUAUAUUUAGAAAUCCAAGGUGUACAUACUGCACUUUCUUCAACCAAGUGUUUUCCAACAAUUAUAAUUACUUAAUUAAACAAACAACAAUAAAAAAAAAAUUUAAGCAAGUGAUAGCUUGAGAAUGUAUGAAUUUAUGUGUACGCAAGUGAAAAUUUUUAAAAUUUUGAAAAUAUCAAAUUUUAUCUCAAACAAACCUCAGAAAAUGGUUCGAUUUAUAUAGAAUUAUCAAAAAUUAACCAUUAGAGACGUAAAACACAAAAUUUGCAUGCAGUCGGCCAGUCACUUUGCUUAACUAGCUAGCCACUUGCCAAUAGUUGUCGUUGCGAAAUUUUAAAUAAUCGGCAAGCCACUUUACCUUACAAGAUAGCCGACUUGCCCCUUGGGACUACACCAGUUAGCCAAGUUUCCAUAAACUAGCUAGCUGCUUUAGGCUUUUCCAAUAUUUGAAGUUUUAACCCAAAAUAACAAAAUUAAAGACACUUUAUAAAAAGUUUCUUAUAAGUUCUGAAACAAAGCAAUCAGGUCCUCUCUCUCUCUCGCUCUAUAAAUAUAUAUAUUCAGAAAAUAUCAAUAUUCAAUCGGACCACACACCUUUAAAAAGCUUGCAAUUUAAUAAGUAUACUUUGAAAAAAAUUAUAUUAAUCAAAAUUUUCAUACUUCUAUUUUCUUCAAUUAUUAUAAAAGUAUAUUUCCAUGGAAUCAAAAUUAUAUUCAAGUGGAAACAUUUGAGCUUCUAAAUGCUUAGCUUAUGCAUAAAUUUAACAAAUUAGCUUUACAAAAAUUAUAAAAAUGAAAGAUUGCUUACACUUGUGUUAUUCACAAUUGAGUCUUGACUUAAUGAACAUGUCCCCAAGUGUAUCUCACAUGAAUGACUUUUAACCUUCAAGAAAUUAAAAGUAUUUUUCUCAUAUUACCCUCAACAUGUAUUUUUUUUAUCAUAUAAAAUAAACCCUCUUUGGGUCAGCAGAAACUCAACAUCAUAUCUUAGAUUAGUUUGCAUUUUGUUGGAUAUUGUUUUUACAAUUAAUAGAGAUUUUAUUAAUUACUAUUAUUGUUAUUAUAUAUAUUAAUUUUAUUUUAAGAAAACAAAUAUGAAAAGAAAUAUGAGUUGUCUCUAACCAAGUUAAAAAGUUAUAUGGUAUCCUAAUCUUAAUAAAGCUAUUAUCAUAUGACUAAUCAAGUUAAACAAAUCAAUAUGGUCAUUUUGUUCUAUCCUAUUGCUUAUUAGAUAUUUCACGUCCAUAUUUAUGUAGUACGUAUGCUUUUGUUUAAAAUUUGAAUGGGUCGAAAGGAUAUGUCUGUUUCUCUUUUUUAAAUAUCUGAAUAUAAGCAGUAUCUUAUUUUAUUUUUAUAAAAAAAAUCUUAAACAUGCUUAUUUGAAAUUUAUGUCCUUAUAAAUCAAAAUAGAUAAGAGAUUAGAAUUUAUAAUUUAGGAAAUAAGCAUAUUUAUAAAGAUAUUCUUAAAAUAUAAUAUUUAUUUCUCAUUCAAAUAAAAGUCAUAAAAUUUUAUUUUUUCCUUUGAGAUGUGAAUGUUUGAAAAUCAUAUAUAAGUUAUAAGAAAUAAACAAGUAAAUUUAAAAAAAAAAUCUGAAAUUAAUAUAAUUUUAUAUUUCAGAUGUUUAACAAACAAGCACUAGAUUUUUUACAAGAUUAAGUCAAUGGAUUAGUUUUGUUAUACUCCACGAUUUGGUGUGACAAUAAUUAAUUUUAAAAGCACGGGCGAGGAUGAUAUUAGUCAGAACAACAGGGCGUAAACUGAAACAAUUCGCGCUAUAUAUAAAGGUUUAUAUACUGCCCAAAACAGAGAUGCCGAAAGAAAGUCCUGAAUAUAAUAAUAUUAAGCAAAAUCACUGUCAUAACUUAAGCAAAUUUACCAUGAAAAUUACUUUUAUCUAUCUCUGUGGCAAAUCACAUGAUGGUAUGAACUCAAAUUCAAGGGUUAUCUUUAACAGCAAAUUUACGAUGUGAACAUAAUAUGUGUAGUGCGUGCCACCUGUUCGUUAAAAUGCCUCCGUGAAGUAGUUAUAUGUGUUUUGUUCUUGCUGCAGUUUUAAAGUUGGACAGAACAUCAUUUUUCUGUAAGCAAUGGCUAAUGUAUAUAUAUAUAUAAAGUAGAGGUUUAGUAGUUCAGUAACUUUAUGUUGUAUGCUUUCACUGUUGAAUUAUUGGUUGAUCGUGUGAAGGUUUAGUUUUGUCUAUUAAGUUUUAAGGCAUCGUGCCUUUUCUCUUAUGACGUCAUCAAACCUGGGCAACGCUUUGUGUUUAAAAUAUAUAUAUAUAUAUAAAGUAGAAAGUAGUGUCCUGUAUAUGAGUUUGUAGUAGUAAUGUUUUGGACUGAUAAGUUUGCAUUUCUUGUUGAAGCUAUUUUGCAGUAAAUGAAAUUUGAAGGGGACCUUAAAAAAAAAAAAAGAAAAGAAAAGAACAAUGCACUUCGUGGGUUUGUUGAAAGUCAGUAAAAGAAACGAGAAGCUCGUUCCAGUAGUUUCACUAUUGAAGACUGUUGUGGGUAAACUUAUAUAUCUUUAUUGCAAUUACUGUGUGUUUGUAUUGGACUGUGUAAAUGUCUUGAAUAUGAUAAUGUUUGAGAUCGGUUUAGUCUUUUAUAUCUACUUAGUCAAGUGAGUUAAAGAAUUAGAGUAAAGCUUCUGGGAAUUCUUUCAUGCAUAAUUAAAAAUCCCGAAAAUAGUUGGCUUUAAGUAAUUAAGACAAACUUGGUUGAAUUGUGUUGAACUUCAUAUUAUGUUUCUGUAUUAUCAAAUUAUUUUCUUUCUUCAUAAUGACUUAUUCUGAGAGUCAUUCGGCUGAUAGAUUGGACUGUUCUUAAGUUUCAGUAAGUUUAUAAUCUUUGGUGACAUGAUUAAAUUUUAAUAUGGAACUGUUGCUUUUUGCCUCAACUGAAAGGUAAUAAUUAUUUAUGACAGCAGGAAGAGAUACGAAAAUGGGGCAAGCUUCUGUUGGUCACUCUACUCUUUCAGCAGCUGAUGAUGUUGAUGAUAAGGGAACCCAAAAAAUGGCACUGGCAAAGAACUUAGCCAGUCUUAUUGAAGAAUCUUCUGAUUUUGAUGAGAAAAAACCCAAGAGUCGAAUGGAGCUCAAGAGGUCUUAUGAAUUUCGCAUAAAGAAGAGGGUGAAGGAGCAAUACGUUAAUGGGAAGUUUCAAGACUUAAUGGAAAAAGUGAUUGCCAAUCCAAAAACUCUUCAGGAUUCUUACAAUAGCAUUAUGCUCAACUCAAAUGUUGAUAUAACUGUAAAUAAUAACCGUCUAUCUUUUGAAUCCAUGGCAGAAAAGCUAUAUAAUGGAAAUUUUGAUGUCAAAGCUAAUACCUUCUCCAUCUCAACAAAGGGUGCAAGGAAAGAAGUCCUCGUUCUUCCUAAUCUAAUUUUGAAAGUGGUUCAAGAAGCCAUCAGGAUAGUUCUGGAAAUUAUUUACAGGCCCUUCUUUUCUAAGAUUUCGCACGGUUGUCGAAGUGGUAGGGGCCACUCCACAGCAUUGAGGUACAUUAGCAAAGAGAUCUCUAAUCCUGAUUGGUUGUUUACAUUAAUUUUAGAUAAAAGAGUAGAUGCUUGCAUGCUUGCUGAACUAAUCUCAGUAAUGGAGGACAGGAUAGAAGAUCCUCGGUUAUAUGAUAUUCUCCGGAGGAUGUUUGAUGCCCAGAUACUCAAUUUGGAGUUUGGGGGUUUUCCAAAAGGCCACGGUCUUCCACAAGAAGGAAUAUUGGCCCCUAUACUAAUGAAUAUAUAUCUUGAUCUGUUGGACCGUGAAUUUUAUAGAUUGUCAAUGAGAUAUGAGGCUAUCAAUCCAAAUUUUCAUGUAGGCAGAGAUGGAUCUUAUUCCAAGCUGCGCAGUUGGUUCAGGAGACAGCUAAAAGACAGUGAUCCGAAUCAUAUUGUUGACAGUAAGUCUGGACCAAGAGUUCAUGCUUGCCGUUUCAUGGAUGAGAUGUUUUUCGCUGUUUCUGGAUCUAAAGAAAUUGCUCAAACCUUCAAGUCUGACAUAGUAAAUUACUUGCAGAAUUCUUUACACUUAAAUGUUGAUAAUCGAACAGAAAUAUUUCCUUGUGAGGGGCGUGUUGGAGUUUGCUUUUUAGGCACUUUGGUGAGAAGACAAGUGAAAGAGAGUCCUGCUGUAAAGGCUAUUCACAAGUUAAAGGAUAAGGUCAAGUUGUUUGCUUUACAGAAACGAGAGGCUUGGGAUGCUGGGACGGUUAGAAUUGGGAAGAAGUGGUUGGCUCAUGGUUUGAAGAAGGUUAAAGAAUCUGAGAUCAAGCAUUUAGCCAAUAGUGAUUCUACUUUGUGCCAAAUUUCUAGCUUUCGUAAAGCUGGGAUGCAAACUGACCACUGGUACAAGUUCUUGUUAAAAGUAUGGAUGCAAGACAUUAAAGCCAAGGCAGCAGAAAGUGAGGGAUUAAUCUUAUCUAAGUACAUUGCAGAACCGGCCCUUCCUCAAGAACUGAGAGAAUCCUUUUAUGAAUUUCAGAAGCGUGUGGAUGAGUAUGUUUCUUCUGAAACAGCAGCUGCUCUCUCUCUUUUGCCAAAUUCAUUUUCUUCUGCCAAAUCGGUCACCAUUACUGAAAUUGUUGCUCCUGUCAGUGCUAUAAAAAAGCGUCUGUUUCGGUAUGGAUUGAUUACAUCUGA